rnacentral:rRNA from 1 species
UAAACUAGGAUUAGAUACCCUAUUAUUCUUAAUGUAAAUUUUAUUAUUAGUAGAAGUUAAGUUCUUGAAAGUAAAAAGAUUUGGCGGUAUUUUAGUCUUUUCAGAGGAACCUGCUCUUUAAACGAUAGUCCACGAUUAGUUAACUUAUUUUUUGUUUGUAUAUCGUCGUAGUUGAUUAUUUUAUAAGAAUAAAAAUGGUCUUUGUCUUUGAGGAGAGAAAUCAGAUCAAGGUGCAGUUUAUAUUUAAGUAGAGGUGGGUUACAAUAAGUUGAUUUAAAUGGAUAAGGGUAUUUAAUGCUUUUUGAAGGUGGAUUUGAAAGUAAUUUUAUUUAUUUUGAUAAAAUGAUUUAGCUCUAAAAUAUGUACAUAUCGCCCGUCACUCUCAUGAAAAUUGAGAUAAGUCGUAACAUAGUAGGUGUACUGGAAAGUGUACCUGGCUUGGCAAGUUAGAGCUUUAAUAAGCGUUUUAUUUACACUAAGGAGUUGAUUUUUAUUUAAUUUAGUGAAUUUAGUUGGUUAUUAUUUUAAAGUUGACUUUUUUGUUUGAAAAAAAUAUUUUGUUUAUUUACUUAUAUGGAAUAUAUUAUUAUAAUUUUAUAGUACUGUGAGGGAAAUUUUUUAAGUAUUUAUAAGAAGUUAAUUUGAUGUACCUUGUGUAUCAGGGCUUAUUAAUAAAUAAUUAUGUAUUUAGUUUUCCCGAAUUUUAAAGAGUUAAUUUAAUUUAUGUUUUAUUGUGGAAUAAAUAUUCUUAAUAUUAAAUUAGAAGUGAAAUGUUAUUCGGUUUUUAAUAUAUCUGGUUUCCUAAGAAAUGAAUUUAAUUCAUUUUUUAAUAAUAAAUUNGGUUUUUUUUUUAAUUUAUUUAUUUUAAAUUGAAAUAUAUAAAGGGAUAAUCUUUUAUAUAAAUUUUUAUAAGUUUUUGUAUUUUCUUUUUAAGUAGGAUUAGAAAUUUCUUUCUUUAGUUUAUUAUAAUUAUUAAGGGUUAUUAUUUUAUUUAUUUUUACUUUAAUUUUUUUAUUGGGAAUAUUUAAUUAAUUUUGUUUAUUUGUUAUAAUGAUUAGAUUAGUAUAAAUUUUUGUAUAUUUAUUUUAUUGUUUAGCUAAUAAAAAGGAAUUAGGCAAUUUAUUCUUUUUGCCUGUUUAUUAAAAACAUGUCUUUUUGAUUAAAUUUUAAAGUCUGACCUGCCCUAUGAUUAAUUAAAUGGCCGCAGUAUUUUGACUGUGCGAAGGUAGCAUAAUCAUUAGUUUCUUAAUUAGGAACUGGAAUGAAUGGUUUGACAAAAUAGAUUCUGUCUCUUUUUUAAAUUUAGAAUUUUAUUUUUAAGUUAAAAAGCUUAGAUUGAUUUAAAAGACGAGAAGACCCUAUAGAUUUUGACUUUUUUUUAAUAAAUUUUGUUAUGAAUUAUUUUUGGUUUGUUAAGGUAAAGUUUGGUUGGGGUGACUGGAAAAUUUAAUUAACUUUUUUUGUUUAGUUUAUUUAUUUAUAUAAAAUUGAUCCGUUUAUCGAUUAAAAGAUUAAAUUACCUUAGGGAUAACAGCAUAAUUCUUUUGGAGAGCUCUAAUUGAUAAAAGAGAUUGUGACCUCGAUGUUGGAUUAAAGUUAAAUUUUGGUGCAGGAGCUGAGAUUUUGAGUCUGUUCGACUUUUAAAACUUUACAUGAUCUGAGUUCAAACCGGAGA